rfam:Struthio camelus australis contig41469, whole genome shotgun sequence.
UGAAAGGUUUUUUUUAAAACCAAACAAAUGAAGAUAUAUAUAUAUAU